rnacentral:lncRNA from 1 species
UUGCUCAUUAAUAGUUUUGAUCCUCAAAUUUUACCCUUUGUUUCGUUACAUGAAAUUGCUUAGAUUGUUAGUUCCAUCUAAAAUAUUUUUUCUAUGAGUGUACAAGAUGUGCAUCAAUUCUAUUUUGUUUUUUCUUCUUUUUUUUUGUUUUUUUAAAAUACACACGCAAAUAUUUCCUAAAAAAUGAGCCCUCAGCAUGGUAAAAAACAUUCGGUUUUCCUAUGCAUAAAUGUUUAGUUUAAAGGCACGAACUUUCGUUUCAUGCUUUCUUCGUGUAAGAGAAAUUAAAAAGACGUUGUAUGAGCUUUCGGAUUUUUAUUUUUGAAUUUUGGAUGGUUCAAUAAAUUAAAAUGUUUGAAGUGGAUGGGGGUGAAAUAAAUUAAGAGGGAUGUGGAUGGAUGGGUAGUGAUGAAGUGCACUCUUAGUAGCUGGAGCCAUGAGAGUAGCUGGGAGCAGCGUAGCUGGAUCCAUGAGAGGAGUAGCUGGACCCAUGAGAGGAGUAGCUGGGAGCGGAGUGUCCGUAGCUGGGAGCGGAGUGUCCGUAGCUGGGAGCGGAGUGUCCGUAGCUGGGAGCGGAGUAGCCGUGUUGUUGUUGUGGGUAAAGGUUCACGUUCUGGUAGGAGACGGCGGGUUCGCCGUGUCCGUAUGAAGAAGAUCCGGAAGAUCCGUGUCCGUAUCCGGAAGAUCCGUAUUCAGCGGCGGCAACAACGACGACGGCGGCGAAGAUGAACCACUGAAAGCAAUAAAAUUUUACAAUUGAAAUAUCGGGGAACAUCAUACAAAGUGAUUAAAAAGUUCCGCACCAUCCCUAAAACCCGUAGGAUCUUGUCCCUUUUGGGGGUGAUCCCCUUACUUUUUGUUUCAGAGGGCGGGCGGAGGGCUUAAGACGUUUCUUUUGACCCACGAGCACUUGUUCAAGUCUCUAUCUCAAUUUGCUCAAAAGUUACAGGCGUGAUGCUAGAUGUUGGUAUGUGUAGGAUUCAGAGUUGUGGCGCACCAAUAUUAGAUUUAAAGGGCAUUUUGGAAACACAAUUUUAGGGGAUAGGUGCAAUUAAAAGCCUGGGAACCUAGGUGAAAAUGAUAUAUGUGUAUUUUUUCCAUUAAAUAAAUAAAUGAAAAAUUAAAAUAAAAUAAAUGAAUAUGGUUGUUACCGUGUUACCUACUAAGAUAUUAUGGUUUCAAACAAGUUCUCAUUAAGUUGGACUUUGAAAGUCUUUGGAAGUCCAUUCAUGAAAUAGAAACCAAGUCUCGGCUUUUAAAAGUACAAGAUCCGAUCUGUGGUAAAGUAUCGAGCUAAAGUUAUGUGUUUCAAAGGUGACAUUUGAAAAUACGUUUGUAGGAAUCACUUUGAUGUAAAUAUAUUCUCAAAUUUUUCAGCCUCAAAUAUGAAGCUCGUAUUCAAUUUUAAUGUGUUAUGGAAACAUUAUGACUUACUUUGAAGAAGGCCAUUUUGAGUUUGGGUGUUGUUGUUGGUUGCACAGGGAACUGUAAGAAUUAACUGUGAAGAGUGAAUGAUGCUGAUUUGUUAGCGGCCAGCUUUUAUAUGUCUCCGAGUGCCUAAUCUAAGGCAUAAAAACCAGCACUUAGGAAGGACAUUUUCGCGAAAAGUCUGAAUGAAAAAAGCUCGAGAAAAAAGAGCAAUAAAAAAACAGCGCAUUACGCUUGAUAAAAAGUUGUCACGAUUGGAGAUGAUAAUGAGGAUAUUGAUUGAAUUUGUUUGUUAAUUGGUACGUCGGAAAGUGUUUUUCAUGAUGUAUCUGAAUACGUGUUGGUGAAUUAGCGUGCGUUUUCGUAGGAAGAGUUUAACUGGGUGUAUGUUGACAUCGGAUUUGAGAACGAAGGUCAUUGCAUCCUCGUAACUCGUUCCGUGUAACAAUUCAGAGAAAGAACAAGAGUUAAUGACAAAAGUUUUAUUCUCUCUGAUCCCAAAAUCGCAGUGACAUCCGUGUGUUUUUCGUGGUUGGUGCGUUCGACAUAUGCAUCUUCUAUCUGUGAUUAUAUCUUACUCUGAGCUUCCGGUAAACGAGAGUUUGCAAGUUUGCAAGUGGUUUAUUGUUCCAUUUCGGUUAACCGUAUCAAAUAUUUGCGUUUGAAUCCAUUAUUUUGAUGAAAAUAAAAAUUAUACUCCAUUAAUGUGAUUUUCUUGUGCUUUUUCCUAUCGUUAAGUAUUAUUCUUUCCUCAUAGUACGCCAAUAAUUAAAUUUCUUAAUGUUUUUAUUCUUCACAUCAUUGCUGUGCAGUUAAAAGAAAUUAAAAUAUGUUUUGCUGGUUUGCGUAUGUAUGUAUAAACAAUUUAUGGGUCGGCAUAUCUCGAGUAUCGCGUGUGUUAAAAAUACACACGGUAAAGUAUGUACAUUUUUGAGACAUCUUAAUAAGCAGUUAAGAUAAAUAAAACGUGCGAAAGUGUCUUAUCAGGAGCAUACUGACAGCUUUCUCCAUUUCUUCUGAAGACUUGGCCAGUUAAUCGUCUAAAAUCAAGAGGGCCUGACCCUUUUAAUGUAAAUUAUCUC